rnacentral:rRNA from 1 species
UACGUAGGGGGCGAGCGUUGUCCGGAAUUAUUGGGCGUAAAGAGCGUGUAGGCGGUCUGGUAAGUCUGUCGUGAAAGGCUGGGGCUCAACCCUGGACGUGCGAUGGAUACUGCCAGACUAGAGGAUGGUAGAGGCGAGUGGAAUUCCGAGUGUAGCGGUGAAAUGCGCAGAUAUUCGGAGGAACACCAGUAGCGAAGGCGGCUCGCUGGCCCAUUCCUGACGCUGAGACGCGAAAGCGUGGGGAGCAAACAGGAUUAGAUACCCUGGUAGUCCACGCCGUAAACGAUGAACACUAGGUGUUGGGGGAGUCGAAUCCCUCGGUGCCGAAGCUAACGCGUUAAGUGUUCCGCCUGGGGAGUACGGCCGCAAGGCUA